rnacentral:rRNA from 1 species
GACGAACGCUGGCGGCGUGCUUAACACAUGCAAGUCGAACGAAGAGCGAUGGAAGCUUGCUUCUAUCAAUCUUAGUGGCGAACGGGUGAGUAACGCGUAAUCAACCUGCCCUUCAGAGGGGGACAACAGUUGGAAACGACUGCUAAUACCGCAUACGAUCUGACCUCGGCAUCGAGGAUGGAUGAAAGGUGGCCUCUAUUUAUAAGCUAUCACUGAAGGAGGGGAUUGCGUCUGAUUAGCUAGUUGGAGGGGUAACGGCCCACCAAGGCGAUGAUCAGUAGCCGGUCUGAGAGGAUGAACGGCCACAUUGGGACUGAGACACGGCCCAGACUCCUACGGGAGGCAGCAGUGGGGAAUCUUCCGCAAUGGACGAAAGUCUGACGGAGCAACGCCGCGUGAGUGAUGACGGCCUUCGGGUUGUAAAGCUCCGUUAAUCGGGACGAAAGGCCUUCUUGCGAAUAGUUAGAAGGAU